rnacentral:rRNA from 1 species
ACGCUGGCGGCACGCCUAAUACAUGCAAGUCGAACGAAGUAGCAAUACUUAGUGGCAGACGGGUGAGUAACAUGUGGGUAUCUUCCCUUUGGUGAGGAAUAACACGAGGAAACUUGUGCUAAUACCUCAUAAGUCUUUACGGAGAAAGCUUUAUGCGCCAAUGGAUGAGCCCGCACUUGAUUAGUUUGUUGGUGGGGUAAUGGCCUACCAAGACAAUGAUCAAUAGCUGAUUUGAGAGGAUGAUCAGCCACAUUGGGACUGAGACACGGCCCAAACUCCUACGGGAGGCAGCAGUAGGGAAUCUUGCACAAUGGGGGAAACCCUGAUGCAGCGAUGCCGCGUGAGUGAAGAAGGCCCUUGGGUUGUAAAGCUCUUUCGUCGGGGAAGAAAAUGACUGUACCCGAAUAAGAAGGUCCGGCUAACUUCGUGCCAGCAGCCGCGGUAAUACGAAGGGACCUAGCGUAGUUCGGAAUUACUGGGCUUAAAGAGUUCGUAGGUGGUUAAAAAAGUUGGUGGUGAAAUCCCAGAGCUUAACUCUGGAACUGCCAUCAAAACUUUUUAGCUAGAGUAUGAUAGAGGAAAGCAGAAUUUCUAGUGUAGAGGUGAAAUUCGUAGAUAUUAGAAAGAAUACCAAUUGCGAAGGCAGCUUUCUGGAUCAUUACUGACACUGAGGAACGAAAGCAUGGGUAGCGAAGAGGAUUAGAUACCCUCGUAGUCCAUGCCGUAAACGAUGUGUGUUAGACGUUGGAGAUUUAUUUUCAGUGUCGCAGUGAAAACAAUAAACACACCGCCUGGGGAGUACGACCGCAAAGGUUAAAACAUCAAAAGGAAAUUGUCGUG